rnacentral:rRNA from 1 species
CACGUAGGGUGCGAGCGUUGUCCGGAAUUAUUGGGCGUAAAGAGCUCGUAGGCGGUGUGUCGCGUCGGCCGUGAAAACCUGGGGCUCAACUCUGGGCGUGCGGUCGAUACGGGCAUCACUAGAGUUCGGCAGGGGAGACUGGAAUUCCUGGUGUAGCGGUGAAAUGCGCAGAUAUCAGGAGGAACACCGGUGGCGAAGGCGGGUCUCUGGGCCGAUACUGACGCUGAGGAGCGAAAGCAUGGGUAGCGAACAGG